GACGAACCGAGCGAACGUUAUUCGGAAUCACUGGGCUUAAAGGGUGCGUAGGCGGGCCCGUCAGUCAGGGGUGAAAUCCCACGGCCCAACCGUGGAAGUGCCUCUGAUACUGCGGGCCUGGAGGGGGAUAGGGGCGUGCGGAACUUCCGGUGGAGCGGUGAAAUGCGUAGAUAUCGCUUGGAACGCCGAAGGUGAAAACAGGCUGCUGGGGUUGCGCCGACGCUGAGACACGAAAGCCAGGGGAGCAAACGGG
rnacentral:rRNA from 1 species